AGGAGAUAAAAGGAAACAGAGAAAGAAAAAGGAGGAGAGAGAGAAAGGGAGAGCAACGAGCUUGCGCUCAAAGAAAGAAAGAGGAAGAGAGGAAGAAGAAGAAGAAAAGGGGUUUUGUGCGUUUUCAUCAUGGCAACCUCACCAAGCCACCUUAACUAUGUAAGGAUGCCUUGAAAUCAACAAGAAUGCAGCUGGGGCGUGAGCUCUCUCUUGAAGAUGUUCCGAGCAUCAGGGACUUACUUGCAUACCAACUACCAAAGUUGUCAUUUAUAACUGAUUGUAUAUAUAUAUAGUUUUGAAUGAUCCCAUCUCAUGUUCGGCAUCUUCUUCGCUUACUCUGCAUGAAUACCGUGCUUGCUGUAGAAUACUGAGAAAAUGUGAAACUUCCGUUUGUCUAUCAAAUCAUCUAGCAUAUCGUUUUAUAUUGGGACUGCCUUCGCUCCUAGAUGACUCCUCUAUCGGAGCUAGAGGGAUGUUCUUUACAUUGUCAUAAUUUGUCAAACCUGUUAUAAGA